rnacentral:misc_RNA from 1 species
UUUCCGUAGGUGAACCUGCGGAAGGAUCAUUAACAAAUCGGUGGUAUUGUUGCUUUUCCAGACGUAACACCCUUGGCUCCGUGUGCAUCUUUGUGCACAAUGUGAUAUUUCUGCGAAUAAUCUGAUAUACCGAAUAAAACUUGAACAACUUUUAACAAUGGAUCUCUAGGCUCUU